UACGUAGGGUGCAAGCGUUAUCCGGAUUUAUUGGGCGUAAAGAGCUCGUAGGCGGUUUGUCGCGUCUGCUGUGAAAACUGGAGGCUCAACCUCCAGCCUGCAGUGGGUACGGGCAAACUAGAGUGCGGUAGGGGAGAUUGGGAUUCCUGGUGUAGCGGUGGAAUGCGCAGAUAUCAGGAGGAACACCGAUGGCGAAGGCAGAUCUCUGGGCCGUAACUGACGCUGAGGAGCGAAAGCAUGGGGAGCAAACAGG
rnacentral:rRNA from 1 species